rnacentral:rRNA from 1 species
CGAGCGAACGGGGAGCAGCCCAGAGUCUGAAUCAGCUUGUGUGUUAGUGGAAGCGUCUGGAAAGUCGCACGGUACAGGGUGACAGUCCCGUACACGAAAAUGCACAGGUUGUGAACUCGAAGAGUAGGGCGGGACACGUGGUAUCCUGUCUGAAUAUGGGGGGACCAUCCUCCAAGGCUAAAUACUCCUGACUGACCGAUAGUGAACCAGUACCGUGAGGGAAAGGCGAAAAGAACCCCGGCGAGGGGAGUGAAAAAGAACCUGAAACCGUGUACGUACAAGCAGUGGGAGCACCUUCGGGUGUGACUGCGUACCUUUUGUAUAAUGGGUCAGCGACUUAUAUUCUGUAGCAAGGUUAACCGUAUAGGGGAGCCGAAGGGAAACCGAGUCUUAACUGGGCGUUAAGUUGCAGGGUAUAGACCCGAAACCCGGUGAUCUAGCCAUGGGCAGGUUGAAGGUUGGGUAACACUAACUGGAGGACCGAACCGACUAAUGUUGAAAAAUUAGCGGAUGACUUGUGGCUGGGGGUGAAAGGCCAAUCAAACCGGGAGAUAGCUGGUUCUCCCCGAAAGCUAUUUAGGUAGCGCCUCGUGAACUCAUCUUCGGGGGUAGAGCACUGUUUCGGCUAGGGGGCCAUCCCGGCUUACCAACCCGAUGCAAACUACGAAUACCGAAGAAUGUUAUCACGGGAGACACACGGCGGGUGCUAACGUCCGUCGUGAAGAGGGAAACAACCCAGACCGCCAGCUAAGGUCCCAAAGUCAUGGUUAAGUGGGAAACGAUGUGGGAAGGCCCAGACAGCCAGGAUGUUGGCUUAGAAGCAGCCAUCAUUUAAAGAAAGCGUAAUAGCUCACUGGUCGAGUCGGCCUGCGCGGAAGAUGUAACGGGGCUAAACCAUGCACCGAAGCUGCGGCAGCGACACUAUGUGUUGUUGGGUAGGGGAGCGUUCUGUAAGCCGUUGAAGGUGGCCUGUGAGGGUUGCUGGAGGUAUCAGAAGUGCGAAUGCUGACAUAAGUAACGAUAAAGCGGGUGAAAAGCCCGCUCGCCGGAAGACCAAGGGUUCCUGUCCAACGUUAAUCGGGGCAGGGUGAGUCGACCCCUAAGGCGAGGCCGAAAGGCGUAGUCGAUGGGAAACAGGUUAAUAUUCCUGUACUUGGUGUUACUGCGAAGGGGGGACGGAGAAGGCUAUGUUAGCCGGGCGACGGUUGUCCCGGUUUAAGCAUGUAGGCGGAGGUUCCAGGUAAAUCCGGUACCUUUUUAACGCUGAGGUGUGAUGACGAGGCACUACGGUGCUGAAGUAACAAAUGCCCUGCUUCCAGGAAAAGCCUCUAAGCAUCAGGUAACACGAAAUCGUACCCCAAACCGACACAGGUGGUCAGGUAGAGAAUACCAAGGCGCUUGAGAGAACUCGGGUGAAGGAACUAGGCAAAAUGGUGCCGUAACUUCGGGAGAAGGCACGCUGAUAUGUAGGUGAAGCCCCUGCGGGUGGAGCUGAAAUCAGUCGAAGAUACCAGCUGGCUGCAACUGUUUAUUAAAAACACAGCACUGUGCAAACACGAAAGUGGACGUAUACGGUGUGACGCCUGCCCGGUGCCGGAAGGUUAAUUGAUGGGGUUAGCGGUAACGCGAAGCUCUUGAUCGAAGCCCCGGUAAACGGCGGCCGUAACUAUAACGGUCCUAAGGUAGCGAAAUUCCUUGUCGGGU